GCGCCCAAGGGUGCACGCCGGUCAGCGAGGUUUCGCCCACCGGCGUCUUUGUC
rnacentral:sRNA from 12 species